AACGAACGCUGGCGGCAGGCUUAACACAUGCAAGUCGAGCGCCCCGCAAGGGGAGCGGCAGACGGGUGAGUAACGCGUGGGAAUCUACCCAUCUCUACGGAAUAACGCAUGGAAACGUGUGUUAAUACCGUAUACGUCCUUCGGGAGAAAGAUUUAUCGGAGAUGGAUGAGCCCGCGUUGGAUGAGCUAGUUGCUGGGGUAAAUGCCUACCAAGGCGACGAUCCAUAGCUGGUCUGAGAGGAUGAUCAGCCACACUGGGACUGAGACACGGCCCAGACUCCUACGGGAGGCAGCAGUGGGGAAGAUUGGACAAUGGGCGCAAGCCUGAUCCAGCAAUGCCGCGUGAGUGAUGAAGGCCCUAGGGUUGUAAAGCUCUUUCACCGGUGAAGAUAAUGACGGUAACCGGAGAAGAAGCCCCGGCUAACUUCGUGCCAGCAGCCGCAGUAACAC
rnacentral:rRNA from 1 species